AGCAAUUAUACCGUGAAACUGCGAAUGGCUCAUUAAAUCAGUUAUCGUUUAUUUGAUAAUACCUUACUACUUGGAUAACCGUGGUAAUUCUAGAGCUAAUACAUGCUGAAAAUCCCGACUUCGGAAGGGAUGUGUUUAUUAGAUAAAAAACCAAUGCCCUUCGGGGCUUUUUGGUGAUUCAUGAUAACUUUACGGAUCGCAUAGCCUUGCGCUGGCGACGGUUCAUUCAAAUUUCUGCCCUAUCAACUUUCGAUGGUAAGGUAUUGGCUUACCAUGGUUUCAACGGGUAACGGGGAAUUAGGGUUCGAUUCCGGAGAGGGAGCCUGAGAAACGGCUACCACAUCCAAGGAAGGCAGCAGGCGCGCAAAUUACCCAAUCCCGACACGGGGAGGUAGUGACAAUAAAUACUGAUACAGGGCUCUUUUGGGUCUUGUAAUUGGAAUGAGUACAAUUUAAACCUCUUAACGAGGAACAAUUGGAGGGCAAGUCUGGUGCCAGCAGCCGCGGUAAUUCCAGCUCCAAUAGCGUAUAUUAAAGUUGUUGCAGUUAAAAAGCUCGUAGUUGAAACUUGGGCCUGGCUGGCGGGUCCGCCUCACCGCGUGCACUCGUCCGGCCGGGCCUUCCUUCUGAAGAACCUCAUGCCCUUCACUGGGCGUGCUGGGGAAUCAGGACUUUUACUUUGAAAAAAUUAGAGUGUUCAAAGCAGGCCUUUGCUCGAAUACGUUAGCAUGGAAUAAUAAAAUAGGGCGUGCGUUUCUAUUUUGUUGGUUUCUAGAGACGCCGCAAUGAUUAACAGGAACAGUCGGGGGCAUCAGUAUUCAGUUGUCAGAGGUGAAAUUCUUGGAUUUACUGAAGACUAACUACUGCGAAAGCAUUUGCCAAGGAUGUUUUCAUUAAUCAGUGAACGAAAGUUAGGGGAUCGAAGACGAUCAGAUACCGUCGUAGUCUUAACCGUAAACUAUGCCGACUAGGGAUCGGGCGAUGUUCUUUUUCUGACUCGCUCGGCACCUUACGAGAAAUCAAAGUUUUUGGGUUCUGGGGGGAU
rnacentral:rRNA from 1 species